rnacentral:rRNA from 1 species
AUUGAACGCUGGCGGCAGGCCUAACACAUGCAAGUCGAACGAGUGGCGGACGGGUGAGUAAUGUCUGGGAAACUGCCUGAUGGAGGGGGAUAACUACUGGAAACGGUAGAUAAUACCGCAUACCAUCGGAUGUGCCCAGAUGGGAUUAGCUAGUAGGUGGGGUAAAGGCUCACCUAGGCGACGAUCCCUAGCUGGUCUGAGGGGAUGACCAGGCACACUGUAACUGAGACACGGGCCAGCCUCAUACGGGAGGCAGCAGUGGGGAAUAUGGCACAAUGGGCGCAAGCCUGAGUCAGCCAUGCCGCGUGUAUGAAGAAGGCCUUCGGGUUGUAAAGUACUUUCAGCGGGGAGGCGUUACCCGCAGAAGAAGCACCGGCUAACUCCGUGCCAGCAGCCGCGGUAAUUC